CUUCAAAAUGUAAUUUAAGUGCCUCAAAGCUCUUUUUUUCAUAAUAGGGUUCCUGGAGGAACCAUUUCAGUCUUUGCAGUUCUUGCAAGAACUUAUGGGAUCCUUGAAGCACUUUGUUUCCACUUCUGAGGUUCUGGAGUCACCCUUUCAUUACACUGAGACCUCAAAGUGCUCUGGAGGUUCCUGGAGGAACUCAAAUUUUUUAAAAGGGUUAUUGUAAGAUCUGUUAACAUUGAAAUGGUUCCUGGAAGAUCUAACUUGUAUAAACCAGCAUCUGGAGGAACCCAGAGAUUCAUGUGACAGAAAUGAAAUAGGACUGAUUAUUAUUAUUGUUAUUAUUAUUAUUAUUUACUUUUUUGGAAUGGUAUGGAACAUAAUCACUUUUGUGGCACUUGGCAUGUGAAAACAAAAAACUUGGGCAUGAUUAGAAAAUAGUAAAUAGUCUUACAAAUUGUCAAAAAAAAAGGGACAUGCAAAAUACAAAUCAGCCAGGUAUGUCUAAAAAUUAUGUCUGAAAACACUGUUUUCAGCAAUAGGGAAUAUACACAUAUAAGGCCAUACAGGCAGUGGCUACACCAUGGUAUUACAGAUUAUUUUCUUUAUUUCUUUCUGUCAGAUUGCACUUUUAUGCCUCCAUUUGUUGGAUUUUAAAUACUUUUGUUGUAUAACUUAAAUACUGCAAUAACUGAAAAAUAGUUUUUAGUUUAGAAACAAAUGUAAAAUUAUUUGAAGGUAGAUAUUGUUUUCCCUGAAACUUUAAAGCAAACAUUACAAAUAUUAUUGAACUAAAUAUGGCUCAACACAUUGAUUUCAUUAAAAAUACACUAAUUAUAACAAUCAGUACAAGUGUAAUAUUUAGAAUUUUUAUUUCCCUAAUGAAAUAAGUUUCAAUUAUUCAGAAAUAAUUGUUUAACAAUUAAUAUAAUAAAAAAGUAUGCUGUUGUCAAGAAGAAGAAAAUGUCCUCGCGCAUCUGCUGUCUGCUCGCGCGCGCGCAAGUGCGAUUUCAAAUACAAAGUAUCAUCAUUAACGGUUCCUCUCCUCAAACAAUCACAGCGCAGGACUGUCUAACAAAAGGUGAGUAAAUUCUCCAAAAUAAAUAUACAGAUUUACUAUUCGUACACAAAUUUCUGUACUGACACGCUUAACUGUAUGUUUUUAUAUUUAAAUGUUUGUUGUUUACCAUUUUAACCGCUAAUUUAAUAGCCGCGAUGCUAGCUAUCAUAAUGAACUUCGUGGGACGAAAUGGAGAGUAUUAAAUCACAAACGGCGAUUUUUAGUCAGCUUUGUUCAUUAUAUUCACUUUUAGUCAUUGUAACUCUGUUCUUUUCUGAACUAAUUUGUUGUCGUUUACGUUUGUUAAUCGUUACCCAUCCAUGUUACAUGUAGACUAUCUAAUAGCUUAUUUUUCGAUUCAUUUAACUUACAGAAAAAAACAGUUUUUGUCCUUUUCUCUCCUCAGAACCUAUACAUUUAACAGGGUUCACUGAGCAGCACUAAUCAGUUAAUGAAGACGUUGUAUGUUUCAUGAAUAUGGCUCUGUAGUGGACUGCUGGAGCUGCUGAUGUCUGUUGCUGGCUGACAAUAAAGUGAUCUCUUUGGACUUACCUCAUCUUUUGAAGAAAUCCGAGCCUUGCUCCUGAUCCUGCUGUGCUGGACGGUAUAUGAUUAAUUGAGACCCAUUUGGUGAGAGCAGCACUGCAGAUUUUCCUGAUGGUGAGGAGCUACUUGCUGACGAACCCACCAACAUGAUUUCACCUUAUAAGUGCCUUUGUUCUAUUCAACAUUAUACAGAAAAGCUUUUAAACGUACAGCAAAGUGUACUAUUUUUCUGCUGCAUUUGUUGGGUAUUCAAGAGGAGAUCAUCAAGCUACCUACAGCUGUCUUGAGGCUUAUCAAUUUCUUAAAAUUUCCUGUGUGAAUUUUCCCAAUCUGUGACCUCCAUUUAGAACAAGAAAGAAUGUUAUCGUUGACUGCGAUGUACAUUAAAUUUGCUCAUUUGAAUUGUACUAUUUUUGAAGUAUGAUUGUUUUAAAGUUCUAAGAUAUUUGAGUCACAUUUAUUUGUUUAUGGUUUUGUCAAGGUGUAAGUUUUAUUUAUUUUUUAUUUAUAACAAUAUUAACACCGGUGUUCCCAUGAAUUUGAUUGUGAUGUGCAGUAUUGAUUAUUUAUUUGAAACUUCUAUGGAUGUUGUUGUUAAUCAAUAAACAAUGUUUGAUAUGUAUUCAUUUUAGUUUUUCUGUUUGUUUAUUAAAAUAAUUAAAUGUCAAUAGC